ACCUGCCCUAUGAAAAUUUAAAUGGCCGCGAUAUUUUGAUCGUGCAAAGGUAGCAUAAUCAUUAGUUUCUUGAUUAGGAACUGGAAUGAAGGGUUGGACGAGGGAAUAACUGUCUCAAUUUAAUUUAAUUAGAAUUUUAUAUUUAAGUAAAAAAGCUUAAAUAUGUUUAAAAGACGAGAAGACCCUAUAGAGUUUUAUAUUUUAUAUUUUAUAAAAAAUUUAGUCUUUAAAUUUUUAUUUAUUUAUUAGAGUAUUUAGUUGGGGUGAUUGAAAAAUUUAAUAAACUUUUUUUAAAAUAUAUACAUUUAUAUAUGAUAGAUUGAUCCAUUAAUUAUGAUUAAAAGAUUAAAUUA
rnacentral:rRNA from 1 species